rnacentral:rRNA from 1 species
CCUUUGACGUUAGCGGCGGACGGGUGAGUAACACGUGGGUAACCUACCUAUAAGACUGGGAUAACUUCGGGAAACCGGAGCUAAUACCGGAUAAUAUUUCGAACCGCAUGGUUCGAUAGUGAAAGGUGGUUUUGCUAUCACUUAUAGAUGGACCCGCGCCGUAUUAGCUAGUUGGUAAGGUAACGGCUCACCAAGGCGACGAUACGUAGCCGACCUGAGAGGGUGAUCGGCCACACUGGAACUGAGACACGGUCCAGACUCCUACGGGAGGCAGCAGAG